CCUACGGGGGGCUGCAGUGGGGAAUAUUGGACAAUGGGGGGAACCCUGAUCCAGCCAUGCCGCGUGUGUGAAGAAGGCCCUCGGGUUGUAAAGCACUUUCAGUGAGGAAGAACGCCUGGUGGUUAAUACCCAUCAGGAAAGACAUCACUCACAGAAGAAGCACCGGCUAACUCCGUGCCAGCAGCCGCGGUAAUACGGAGGGUGCGAGCGUUAAUCGGAAUUACUGGGCGUAAAGCGCGCGUAGGUGGCUUGAUAAGCCGGUUGUGAAAGCCCCGGGCUCAACCUGGGAACGGCAUUCGGAACUGUCAAGCUAGAGUGCAGGAGAGGAAGGUAGAAUUCCCGGUGUAGCGGUGAAAUGCGUAGAGAUCGGGAGGAAUACCAGUGGCGAAGGCGGCCUUCUGGACUGACACUGACACUGAGGUGCGAAAGCGUGGGUAGCAAACAGGAUUAGAUACCCUAGUAGUC
rnacentral:rRNA from 1 species